rfam:Epulopiscium sp. Nuni2H_MBin003 Nuni2HMBin003_202, whole genome shotgun sequence.
UGAGAACUAUGAUUCAGGAGGUUGUUAUUUCGAUUGAGAAGUAAAUUUCUGAGGAGCGAAAGUCGGUUCAAGAAACCCGAUGGCAA